GACGGGUGAGUAACGCGUGGGUAACCUGCCCAUAAGUGGGGAAUAACAGUUGGAAACGACUGCUAAUACCGCAUAAGCUGAGCAAUCAGUAAAGGAGGCUUUUGCUUCCGCUUAUGGAUGGGCCCGCGUCUGAUUAGCUGGUUGGUGGGGUAAUGGCCUACCAAGGCAACGAUCAGUAGCCGGCCUGAGAGGGUGGACGGCCACACUGGGACUGAGACACGGCCCAGACUCCUACGGGAGGCAGCAGUGGGGAAUAUUGCGCAAUGGGGGAAACCCUGACGCAGCGACGCCGCGUGAGCGAAGAAGGCCUUAGGGUCGUAAAGCUCUGUUUUAAGGGACGAAUAUCCUUAGUAGUAACUGACUAAGGAAUGACGGUACCUUAAGAGAAAGCCCCGGCUAACUACGUGCCAGCAGCCGCGGUAAGACGUAGGGGGCGAGCGUUGUCCGGAAUUACUGGGCGUAAAGAGCACGUAGGCGGGAUUUUAAGUCAGGUGUGAAAGACCGUGGCUCAACCACGGGGUUGCACAUGAAACUGGAAUUCUUGAGGGCAGGAGAGGAAAGUGGAAUUCCUGGUGUAGCGGUGAAAUGCGUAGAAAUCAGGAGGAACACCGGUGGCGAAGGCGACUUUCUGGACUGACCCUGACGCUGAGGUGCGAAAGCGUGGGUAGCAAACAGGAUUAGAUACCCUGGUAGUCCACGCUGUAAACGAUGGAUACUAGGUGUGGGAGGUAUCGACCCCUUCCGUGCCGCAGCAAACGCAAUAAGUAUCCCGCCUGGGGAGUACGGUCGCAAGGCGUGAACUCAAGGAAUUGACGGGGCCCGCACAA
rnacentral:rRNA from 1 species